rnacentral:rRNA from 1 species
UACGAAGGGGGCUAGCGUUGCUCGGAAUUACUGGGCGUAAAGGGAGCGUAGGCGGGUUAUCAAGUUGGGGUGAAAGCCCGGGGCUCAACCUCGGAAUUGCCUUCAAAACUGAUAACCUGGAGUAUGGAAGAGGUAAGUGGAACUCCGGAGUGUAGAGGUGAAAUUCGUAGAUAUUCGGAAGAACACCAGUGGCGAAGGCGACUUACUGGUCCAUUACUGACGCUGAGGCUCGAAAGCGUGGGGAGCAAACAGG